GUUAUUGGAACAGUGGCCAUAUGAAGCAGCUGCUAUAGCUUUUGAGGUUAUUCCACGUACUCUAGCUCAGAACUGUGGAGUUAACGUGAUCAGAACUAUGACAGCAUUGCAAGGAAAACAUGCAAAUGGGGAGAAUGCUUGGACUGGAAUUGAUGGGAAUACUGGUGCAAUAGCUGACAUGAAAGAGAGCAAGAUAUGGGAUGCGUACAAUGUGAAGGCGCAAACGUUCAAGACAGCGAUAGAAGCGGCGUGUAUGCUUCUGAGGAUUGAUGAUAU